UUAUAAAAGGAUUCUAAAAGAAUUUUUAUUUAUCACAGUGUGGCUGUUUUGAGUACUUGUUCCUGUCCAUCAGUGUAUGCUUUUCCUAUGUGUAGGUGUAUUCUCACUGUCUCGGACUGGUCUGGUGUGGUUUGUAACACACAGGAAGGAUCAAACCAGGGUAAACACUCAAACGUCUUUUCCUUGAGAGAGAGUCCAAGGUCUGGAGGAAACCCCCAGGUAACAGGUGUGUCCUCUGAUCUGUAAGGCCUGGAAUGAGGCUGAUCCCAGUCUCUCCUGCCCUCUCAGGCAGGUUCUGCUCGUCCUGCCAGGUGCUUCCUCUCCUCUCCCAAAGCUCCAGCCAAACAGACACCUGUGGUCACUGGGGAAGCCGCUCAGAACUCCAGAAGCCUCUCCAUGUGCCAUCCCACCCGCCUCUCCGGUGGGGCCAAUGGCUGUGGCAGCUCUCCCGCCCCCACUUUGAGCCUUUCUCCUCAAGACUCCAAAAAUCCAUGGGCAGUGGUGUUGUCUCUAGACACACUGCCUUCGAGCCAAAGCCUUUGGGCACUGGAUUUCUGUUUUUCCACUUUCUUUUACAGAAGCAAGGCAGAAGUCGAAAUGCAAUUCAAAUUACAUAAUUGUUAGCAACUUUGCUCAAAUGACGUGGAAACGUUUUUCUAGUAGAGCUGUGGGUUCCAGGAGGAUUGACUGGGACUGCGCCUGUCUUGUUGACUGCUGGGUCGCCUGUGCGGCUGCCCAUAAAUAACUGCUUCAUGAAUGGAUUCAUUUUCUACUCUGUGACACACUGCAAAUUCUGACAUGUUAGUUCUAAUAUGAAACAGGAUUCAAGUCAUUUCUAGAAACUUCAGUUGAUGUACCCUGCCACCCAGUUGCCUGGAGGGAUUUGGGAUAAUGAUAGCAAAAACAGGGACAUUUCAUUAUAAUUGUGGCAGAGAAAGUUCUGAGUGCUUAGAUCUUGAGAAGAAUGGGCACUAAUACGUCCAGUGAAUAUUCUAAUUUUCACAGUAUCUCCAGAUAUUGAUAUCUUUAUCAGAUAUAACUCACUUCCGACAAGCCUUUUCUUUUUAGCUGGUUUUAUUCUUGAGUAUCAAAUAUUUAGGUUUAGGGAACAUUUGCUUUCAGAGUUAAGACUCCUUCAAUUCCGUUAAUACAUUAAGGUAAUUUCAUUGCCGUCAUUUCAUCUUCCUUUGCGGGCUGAAUUCUUACUAAAUACAACAGACUAUGUUGGAUCUGUUACGAAGUCUAAUUUGUUGAAGUGAGUCUCUCACAUUUUCUUUAAUGAACUUUCAGGUGGAAAGCUUCCUCUAAAUGACCGGGCUUAAGAUUAUAUUAUUAUCACUUUCUAAUUGCCUUAUAGUUUAACCUUCUUUAAAUGACAUGAGAUUGCAUUAAAUAGUAUUAAGUUGGGUAUUCCAUACAAAAAAAUUGUAAAGGCCACUAAUGUUUAGCCAGAUCUUACAGUGAGUUGAAAAUAUAUAAAUCCAGAGAGAAUGAAUUUCCAACCCCCCAAAUAAAUCCACUAUCUCUCCAUAGGUUGCUGACAACGCUUCCUAUGACUGUGAAGUUGGGAAAUCCAAGUCCUUGACUGAUUAGUAGGCAGCCCACUCCUUCAGGCCCCUUCACCCAUUUACAGAUGAACCAGGCACCGUGCUUGGCACGGGAAACUCAGAGAUAAACACACCAAGGGCCUCAGCCCGGGCGUGCCUAUGAGCUCACACUUCAGGGAGCAGGCCAACCAGGAACAGGUCAACAAGUCUACAAGAAGGGUGACUGCGGAUGCCGUGGGGGCGGGCAUGUAGGUAAUAAACGGGCCGGUGCGAUGGAGACGAUCCGGAGAGUGUGGGAAGGCCUCUUGGAGCAGGUCAGCGCAGGAACUACUCCCUUCCCACGGGGUGUGUGCCUCGCCCGCGCCGUCCAAGGGGAGGCCCACGGAUCCUGCGCUCAGGAUGUGGAGAGCUGCAAAUAGCACGACAGCUGCAGCUGGAGGGAGCUGCCCGGGACGCGUGCCAGCUGCUGCCACGGCGGGAGCCAGGCCGGCCACCAGCCUCCUCGCGCCCUGGUGAGCAGCCUCGCAGAGCCCUCCGGGCCUCAGGCCAACUCACGAGUGCAGCCCGCCGCUUUUGUUUUCUCCGUUGUGCCCACGUGAUGACGGAGGGCAGGCGCGGAAGCAGGGGACGUGGGCCCUCGCAUGCCUUGCACUUCUGCUCAGGACAGCCUCGGAGGCCCACCAGCCGGCAUUCCCUCCUGCGUGCAAGGUGGGGGGAACCCGACUCUCCGAGCCGACUCGCAGGGAGCCAGGAAUCCAGUCUGGCCCUCUGUGUUCUGGGCACACGGCCUUGGCGUCAGGGUCUGUUCCGUCUUUCGACAUUAUCUCCUUAAAAUAUUUUUCUCCUGAGUCUUCUGCUAGCUACAAGUCUCAUUCUCCGCUGGCCACAUUCCUAACUUGCAAAUAUAAGCAUUAUUUAUAAAGCACCUUGGGAAAGGCGUCCUUAAAGAAGGAAGCCCGAAAGUAAAUUAAAAGAGCCCCCCGGAUCUGCCAUGCAGUGCCAGACCAGGGAGGGGGGCCCGGGCUGUGCCCGGCCCCGGGCAGUGUCCCCGGAAGGGACGUGGGCGACGGGAGGGCCGGGCAGCAGCGCGCAGCCGGCGCCCACCCCCCCACCCCGAAGGCUGGGGCUCGCGGGGCGCUGCGCCGCUGCAGGCAGGAGGCGCCCCUGGCAGCGCCCGGCUGGGAGGCAGCCGCCUGACCCCUCGGGGACCUACCCUUCCCCAAACCCUCGCACUGCUGCCUUCGAGGCCCUGUCUGCGCUGGAGGGAGUUCUGGCCGCCUUGGCAGGGUGGCUGCAGCCCGGGUGUGGGGCGUGCGGUGGGUGCGGGUCAGAGCCGUCCGCCCUCCUGCGUCCAUCCUGGGGCUGCGUGCCUGGUGCCUGGGAAGGAGAAAACGGCCCUCCUGAGGGAAGGGAGCCGAACAAAAACACACACCUGCUGAGACUGGCCCAGAUUCUGCCCUGCCAGCCGGCCUUGGCCCUGGGGGAGCUUCUCAGGGCAGUGUUAGCUCCUCUCUCUGCUUUAAUAUGCAAAGUGGAGUCAAGACGCAAUUCAGGAAGGAGCAUACGACGCCGUAAUGGGCACAGGACACGUGCAAAUGGCCGUGACAGUAUGUUGUAUUUUCAUCUUUGUUUCUUUUUGUUUUAUUUUUUCUUCAUGCAACAAAAAUUGCUAAUAUUUUUCAUCUACAUGUUAAGAAUUCAGCUGGUAUUUAAUGUAUGUUAAAUAAACCCAUACAGGUUGAUAGGUCAACUCUGGAGAUUUUAUGAACUAAGAUUUGCAGUGAAUGGCAAACGCCGUUAUGUUCUUACUCCUUUUCAAUUACAUUUUAAACUUGCUUUAGCUAAUAUGUCUGUUUGCUCCAGGUGAGUGUUUUGUUUCGGGUUUCCUUCCUGCUGACUAAGAGUGCUUUACGUCUGUCAGAAACUCCCCCGAGAGAGAAAGAGAGCUUAAUGUGGAAUAUUAGCCCCUCUGCCUGUUGUAUCCAUAAAGCCAGGCCUACCGCUCUCCCAGGGGCAUCAGAAAUUGCUUUUGUGCCAUGUUUAGAGAGGCCUUGGCAUCCAGAAACAAAGAAAAGGAAAUAAACCAUUGCCCCAAAGAGCCAGGCUGGUGAAGUCCAAAGACCUGCAGAAGUGCUGAGUUUUAAGUCACUGGUUAUGUUUUUAAAAAAAAUUUAAGUUCAGGCUGUGGAGCCGCACUGCUCUGAGAGCGCUCUCACUGGGCCACUUGCAAGCUGGGCGUCCUUGGGCAAGUAUUUAGCCCCCUGUACCUCAUUUUCCCCAUGUGUGAAAUGGGCGCAGAUAAUCUUACUGACCUCAUAAGGCUUCACUGGCAUGUGUAAAGAUAAAAUGAUCCAUGUAAAAUGCCUGGCAGGACCCUUGGCACUUGGUUAGAACUCAAUAAAUCACUAGCUAUUACUUUAAAAAAUAAUAACAAGUUAUGUAAUAAAUGAUUAGCUUAUAAUAAUUACUGUUAUAUUAUAAUAAUUAUAUCUUGUCUUCUCCAACUUGGGCUUCCACCUGCAUGCAGAAUGGAGUACUGGGGCUUCAUUCCUAAUGAUCUGAACUGGAUGUUAGCGGUUCCCAAUCACUUGGGUUUACCAAGAUACUGGUGUCUGUGUCUCACCCCAAGGGACUCCAAUUUAAUUGAUGCAUUACCGUAGAAGCUCACAUUAUUUAAUUCCACUCUAUACGCUUGCUGAGAAACUGGAUAUUAAAUCAAAAUGCUGAUACUUUUGGAUUGAUUUGAUCAAUUCAUUUAAUAAAAAUUUGAUUUCUCAAGCUCCUAUA